GCUGGGCGUGGUGGUGCAUGCCUGUAAUCCCAGCUACUCAGGAGGCUGAGGCAGAAGAAUCACUUGAACCUAGGAGACAGAGGUUGCAGUGAGCCGAGAUCGCACCACUGCAUUCCAGCCUGGGUGACACAGCGAGACUCUGUCUCAA
rnacentral:SRP_RNA from 1 species